GCUUAGCUCAGUUGGUUCAGAGCAUCUGCCUUACAAGCAGAGGGUCGGCGGUUCGAAUCCGUCAGCGC
rnacentral:tRNA from 1 species